AGUCGCCUGGUCCCUCGCUCGCCGCAGCCUAGACGGCGGACGCUCCCUGUCAAGGCCUAAUUCCUGCAACUCGCCGGCCCCCGGUAACCGUUUUCCUUCCCCGCCUAAGAAAAACAGUUUUUUCCUCUAGACCACUUCGGCGGCCUCUUCUGACAGUUUUGCUUCUCCUAUGCCAGCGGGUCUCCGCGCCUUUAGGGGGUGCUCGUCAUCCUUUGCCCCCCAACCCCCCGCCACAUCCUCGUAACUGAUGUACAGUCCGUCAGUUCGGCUUCAGUUCUUUUGACGGAUGAAAAUGGCAUAUUUGUGCAUUCUCUGGAUGCGUUAUAAUGAGGACACUCAGUACGUCCGUUGUUUCAUCUUUCUGAAAAAGUAAAUCACAUUAAAUCCUCAGGCUUGUAAAACCUCAUAGCUAAUUUUCAAGUGAUGAUGAAUUGACUAAUACUAACUCAAAAAGUUGUUCUCAGAGUAUGGUCUGAGGGUCCCCAGACCCUUUCAUGGGGAAGGUCAAAACUAUUUCCAUAUUAAUGUCAAGACUGCCUUUUGCAUUCUCAUUCUCUCACAAGUGUACAGUGGGGUUUUCCGGAGGCUACGUGACAUGUGAUAAGGAAACAGACUGAAAAUAGAAGCAGAUAGGAGAAUCCAGUCAUCUGCGGUUAAACCAGACGUUAAAGAGAUUUGCAAAAACUCGAUUUGGGGGCAAGGGGGAGUAGUUAUUUUUCAUAUAAAAAUUAUUUUUUGUUAAUAUUUGAUUGCUUUAUUGU
rnacentral:lncRNA from 10 species